UACGGAGGGGGCUAGCGUUGUUCGGAAUUACUGGGCGUAAAGCGCACGUAGGCGGCUUUGUAAGUUAGAGGUGAAAGCCCGGAGCUCAACUCCGGAACUGCCUUUAAGACUGCAUCGCUUGAAUCCAGGAGAGGUGAGUGGAACUCCGAGUGUAGAGGUGAAAUUCGUAGAUAUUAGGAAGAACACCGGUGGCGAAGGCGGCCCACUGGCUCGACACUGACGCUGAGGUGCGAAAGCGUGGGGAGCAAACAGG
rnacentral:rRNA from 1 species